GCUUAGAGAGGGGUCAAUGUCCUAUCAGCUAGUUGGUAAGGUAAUGGCUUACCAAGGCUAAGACGGGUAGCCGGCCUGAGAGGGUGGUCGGCCACACUGGGACUGAGACACUGCCCAGACUCCUACGGGAGGCUGCAGUCGAGAAUCUUUCGCAAUGCCCGAAAGGGUGACGAAGCGACGCCGCGUGUGGGAAGAAGGCCUUCGGGUUGUAAACCACUGUCGGGAGUUAAGGAAUGUAAGGGUGUUAAUAGCAUCCUUACUUGACUAAGGCUCCGGAGGAAGCCACGGCUAACUCUGUGCCAGCAGCCGCGGUAAUACAGAGGCGGCAAGCGUUGUUCGGAAUUAUUGGGCGUAAAGAGCACGUAGGCGGCCUUGUAAGUCAGUUGUGAAAGCCUUCUGCUUAACGGAAGAACAGCAUCUGAUACUGCAAGGCUAGAGUACGGAAGGG
rnacentral:rRNA from 1 species